AUAUAAUUAAGCGGAUGAAAAGAAACUAACAAGGAUUCCCCUAGUAACGGCGAGUGAAGCGGGAAGAGCUCAAAGUUAAAAUCGGUGCUCUUAGCGGGGCAUCCGAAUUGUAAUCUAGAGACAGAAUCUCAGCGGUGACCUGGGCCUAAAUCUUUUGAAACAAGGUAUCAGAGAGGGUGAGAAUCCCGUCUUUGACCUGGAGUUCGCCGCGUACGAGACCUGUUCCAAGAGUCGAAUUGCUUGGGAAUGCAGUUCUAAACGGGUGGUAAAUUUCAUCUAAAGCUAAAUAUUGACGAGAGACCGAUAGCGCACAAGUA
rnacentral:rRNA from 1 species